AUGUCAUACACGCUCAAGAUAGCGGGAUACUCGAGAACCAAGGCGCUGCUCGAGACCGGCAAGUGGGCAACAUCUACUCCUUUUCGCGUUGGAGGCCAUGUUUGGACCGUGCGUUAUUGCCCAAACGAUGAUGCCGAUUUCGUGUCUAUUUACCUAGUUCUUGAUUCUGAGGGUGCCAAUAAGCAUGUCAAGGUGAGAUGCAAAUUCAGUGUGCUCGACAAGGCCGGGGUGCCAGUGCCUUCUCUCAGCCGUGCCUACAAGUCCGUACAGACCUUCACGCCAAAAGAUUCCACCUGGGGCUACAGCAAAUUUAUCAGCAAGGCGGAUCUGGAGGGGUCGCCGCAUCUCAUAGACGAUUGUUUCACCAUCAGAUGCGAUGUCACCGUCUUGAAGGAGAUCCGUUGCGAGCAAAUUACAAAGCUUAAACGACAGUUUGUAGUGGUUCCUCCGAGCAACAUGUGCCGGGACCUCGGCGGUCUCCUCGAGAGCAUGGAUGGAGCAGACGUCACCUUUCACGUCGGCGGGCAGAAAUUUUCAGCGCAUAGGUCCGUGCUCGCUGCUCGGUCCUCCGUCUUCAAGGCGGAGCUCUUCGGCUCCAUGAUGGAGAAUGCCGGUGAUCCGGUUGAGAUCGGCGAUAUGGAGAGCGACGUGUUCAAGUCAUUGCUGCAUUUCAUAUACACGGACGACUCAAUGCCUCAGAUCACCCGUGAAGACAUGGCGAUGGCUGGCCAUUUACUCGUUGCGGCUGACAGGUACGCUGUCGAGAGGUUGAAACUGAUAUGCGAGGACAAGUUGUGCAACCACAUUGACUCCGACACCGUGGCCACUAGCUUAGCUUUAGCUGAACAACAUAGUUGCCGUGGACUAAAGGAAGCUUGCUUUGAGUUCCUUGCCUCUCCUUCCAAUUUUGAGGCUAUGGUGGCAAGUGAUGGUUAA
rnacentral:rRNA from 1 species